UACAGAGGUCCCAAGCGUUGUUCGGAUUCACUGGGCGUAAAGGGUGCGUAGGCGGUUUGAUAAGUCUGAUGUGAAAUCCCGCAGCUUAACUGCGGAACUGCAUUGGAAACUAUUUAACUAGAGGAAUGGAGGGGAGACUGGAAUACUUGGUGUAGCAGUGAAAUGCGUAGAUAUCAAGUGGAACACCAGUGGCGAAGGCGAGUCUCUGGACAUUUCCUGACGCUGAGGCACGAAAGCCAGGGGAGCAAACGGG
rnacentral:rRNA from 1 species